GCUGUUUAUGCACCCAUCCACAUCUCCAUAGCAACCACAAAGGGAAGAGAGAGCUCUGCCCUUAUCACAGGCAGGGGAUGCACACAGAUGGCUGCUGUCUCUCACAAGUCCCCCAAUGCAAGGGGCAUUCUCACUUCAUGGGGGAUCUACAAAUAGCAGCACCUGGAAAUGCUGUUGCUCCAGCCAGCCCAAGCCUGUACCUUCUCCCAUGUCUCAAUCAUGGCACCCAAAGGUGGGGGCGCAUCAGCCCCUUCUAAAGCUCAUUUUCUCUAGUCCCCUCUCUCCACACACACCUCUCUCAGAGCCAUCCUGGGGGUGGCUGUAAUGACCAACUUGCCUAAUCCAGACACUUCCGUAGCCACCUCAUUUGGUCUUCCUGGAACAUUCAACGUUCCUGGGCACUUCCUGGUUUUGCCACUGUCCUCGGGUAGCGUUUGGUGACAAUUAUCACAGCCCACAUGUAGUAAGAGCUUACUGUGAGCCAGAGCCCUAAGAUGCCUACUGGGGGUACCCCGAUUUCCCCAGGAUUUAGUGUGACAGAAUGAGCUUUGAAGAGGUGGUGCGGCUUUCUGAGACCAUCUGAACCACUGAAGCAGCAGGUUUGAACUUGGGUCACUGGAAAACAAAAAGCCUCACCCUUAAGCUCUAACAGAGCGCCCCGCUGUUGGCUUUCCAGCUCCGAGGUCUUCCCCGCUCCGUCCUGCCCAGGCUGCCCUUCUGAGCAUUCUUUCCCUGAUCCACUUCCCGACACCGUGUUCUCUGGGGCCAGUUUUAUCUUGCACUUUUGCCCCAUCUGUAUGCACUGGUUCUCAAGAACAAACGGCUCCCCCACAUCAGAUUUUUCUCCUGCCCUCGGUGGGUCUGGCUACCUCCUGAGCAUCUUCCCCAGUGCGGCCACCAGGGUCCUUGGGCUCAGCAUGCAAAUGCUAAAGCCACUAUUAUUUCCCACACGUGAUCCUUCUCCGAGUCCUCACUGUGCUCUGUGACACCGCCAAGGGCUCUCAAUGCCACCAGAAAUUUAGAUAUUAUCCUCCACUUUUCUCUUCUCCACCCGACACUCAAUCAGUGACCAAGUACCGUCAUUCUGCCUUCCAUGAUGGCAAGGGCCAGCCCUCCUCCCCCGUUUCCACGUCCUCUGCCUUGUUGAGGCCAUCAUCUCCUCCCCACGUGAUCUGCAGCCUCCCGGCUCGGCUCUGCACCUCAGGUGUAGACCUCCAGAGGAUACUUCUAGAAGCAAAGCUGAUCCCAUUGCCGCCAACUUCAGCUCCUGUUCUGAGUUCCCUCUGACCCUGGAAUUAAUGAGAACUCCCUGGCACAGCCCACAGUGUCCUGCAUGAUCUGUCCUGGGGGCCUGUCCCCGUCUCCCCUCUCCCUAGCUUCCAGUGCCUUGGAGCAAGCAUCAGGUGUGCCAAUCUCAUCUAUUCUGCUCUGUGGCUGAAUUCAUCCGUCUAGUCCAAGCUCAGGUGUCAUUUACUCCAAACCUUUUGCCCAUCUCCUGUUCUCCGAUUUUGUCCUCUCUGAGCCCUGUGCAUUUCUGUGCCUUCACAGCUAUGGCAGAGGGCCCUCGGGUGUUUCCAUGUCCAUUUCCCUGGGCUGGAAGCUGAGCCCCUUGUAGGUGAGACCUGGGUCUUAUGUGCUGGGAUUCUACUGCCAGUGCCCAGAACCUCAUUCAGGGUCUGUUGGCUACAGGAAUGAAGGGACAGGGGAGUCCUCCUGACCUGAUCUUACAUUCCCCCAAACUGGACAGAGUUCCUAAGAUACUGGGCGACAUUGAGGAGAAUGGGGGCAGCUGAGGUUUUCUGCCUUCCAAG
rnacentral:lncRNA from 1 species